UACGGGGGGGAGCAAGCGUUGUUCGGAUUUACUGGGCGUAAAGGCGCGUAGGCGGCGUGACAAGUCACUUGUGAAAUCUCCGGGCUUAACUCGGAACGGUCAAGUGAUACUGUCGUGCUAGAGUACAGAAGGGGCAACUGGAAUUCUCGGUGUAGCGGUGAAAUGCGUAGAUAUCGAGAGGAACACCUGCGGCGAAGGCGGGUUGCUGGGGCUGAUACUGACGCUGAGGCGCGAAAAGCUAGGGGGAGCGAACGGG
rnacentral:rRNA from 1 species